AGUCCAUCACAUGAAUGUAAUCUCUUACCUGUUUCAAACAUCCUUUUUAGCUUACUAAAAUGACAAUUCAUUACUUUAUUAUUAUAAUAAAAAGCCGUGCAAAGCUAGCUUUUUCAUCAAGCAUCAGAGAGCGAGGUAUUUAGAGAUCUGAUUUAGAAUUACCGCACUGCCAUCCUCGGUAGGAUAGUCAUGUCCGUAGACGUCCCACAGCCACUUGUUGGAUAUAAGGCAUAAGGUUAUUGGGGAUUCCCUUUGGAUCCUCACCAAUUCUGCCACAGCAAUCUUGUUGGAUAUAAAACAAGGGUCUAAAGAUGCAAUGUUCAGCAUUGAUUCUUCUUUUUCUUGAAGCUUUUUCUCCCAUUCAUGAAGGACCCUCUCACGAGUCUCUACUUCCUUCAAUCUCAUUUCCAGCUCAGAGCUCUUCCUAGUUGCCUCUGCGAGUUUGCUUUCAGCAGAGUAAAUCUUACUUUCCACAUCAGAAGAUAUACCGGUAACACUAGCAACCAGAGCAUUUGCUUCAGCUAAUUUAGCUUCAUAAGCGAGCCUGGUCUUGUUAUUCUCUUCUUGAAUUUCACGAAGAAAGUUCAGAACACAAAUUAAGACGUCAAACUAAUACAGAACAGAACUAAAUUUAUUGUCCCAAACAAUCAAUGCAUUACAUAAGUAUUAAGACAAACGAACCCCCACACUCUCAGAUCUAGCUCUUGAUUUUGAAUGAUACCAAUGAUCCAUUAAAAGAUUGACAUGAUUAUAAUUUAUAACUAAGGAAACGUUGAACAAGUGGUUUUUGUUUUACCAGUUUCUUUGUAGUAAAUAGAAACACGACUUGGUUUGUGAUAACAUGUUGCAAUCAAAAGAUGGAAUAGAAACAAAAACUUUGUUGGAUGUUGAGGGGCAUCUUGGGCGUAAUCACAAACAAAAACUCCCACGUUCCGGUUUCCAUAUCAUAUACCUCUACCCAGUUUGAGGAAUUAGCGACAUCCCAGCACCCUCCAAACACUUAUAUCUUCUUGUCUAUCAAACUUGCGGAUGCUCCGCUUCGAGCCAUCUUCAUGGGGGUAGCUCGGUAAACUAAGUGAUCGAUAGCACUAAAAAACGUGACUUCCGAUGUGGGCUUGCCGUCGUUCAUGAGUCCACCGAUACAAUAGACCCCCAAGCCGUCUUCACGAAGCAGGAUCCGGCUAGUGGAGCCGGAUGCAAGAAGCUCGAAUGGUGCACCGGUUUGAGCCGAUGUUGCAGGGGGGUGGAGGACGAACCACCUUGGGCAUGGAUCUUCUGGAUACAUGUGCAUAUAUACGUACAUAUAUGGCUCCAACUUACCCAGCCGAUAUCUCAUGGCCCUGAGAUCGCGGGACUCUGCCACAAACCGGUGGCUCCUGGAAACCGUGGCUAAGGCCACCAGGUCCAGUCUGACACCUUAGACAGGCACUCCAAAGCCACAUCAUCUGGCAGCGACAAUAACCCACACUCCUCCUCCUUCUUCGACUCCAAUUCACUACGACUACUGCAUCCCCGAAUCACACCUUUUCCCUUCAUACACGAGAGAGAGCGAGAAGACGGAUCCAAGACACGACAGCCGCCUGAUUGUGUAAUAUAUAUAUCUUCAAUUAUUUUAUAUACUAUUAUUAUAUACAUGUUCAGCAGAAAUUGUUAUAUAUCAUAUUUCCUUUUUCUUGUGGUGUUAAAUUAAAAAAAAAAAGCAUAUUUCAUACA